AUGCGGUGCAAGGGUCCUCUGCAGUCCGUGCAGGUCUUCGGACGCAAGAAAGACGGCCACAGGCGUGACGCACUGCAAACGCGGCAACGGCCUCAUCAAGGUGAAUGGGCAGCCCCUGGAGAUGAUCGAGCCUCGCACGCUGCAAUAUAAGCUACUGGAACCUGUUCUGCUUCUGGGCAAGGAGCGAUUUGCCGGGGUGGACAUCCGAGUCCGAGUGAAGGGUGGUCGUCACGUGGCCCAGAUUUAUGCAAUCCGCCAGUCCAUCUCCAAAGCCCUGGUGGCCUAUUACCAGAAAUAUGUGGAUGAGGCUUCCAAGAAGGAGAUCAAAGACAUCCUCAUCCAAUACGACCGGACCCUACUGGUAGCUGAUCCCCGGCGCUGCGAAUCCAAAAAGUUUGGCGGUCCUGGUGCCCGUGCUUGCUACCAGAAAUCCUACCGAUAAGCCUAUCGUGAGGAUGAGGGUUCAUCUUUAUAAUAAACAGUUGUCACGGGAAAAAAAAAAAAA